rnacentral:tRNA from 1 species
AGCCCAGAUUUUCCGGACUGCAAAUCCGCUUUUGGGAAUAUUUCCCCUGGGCUU